GCAAUGCAGUGAUUGCUGCACCCAGAGCCUGUUCCUCUCCCAACUCCUUGAAAUUCUCAGCUCCUUCCUCAAGUCCCUGCUCCUAUGAAUUGGUUACACCUCCAUCAUGCUGCAAAAAUUAAUUUUGUUAUACACCUGUGUCAUUCAGAGCUACCAUUCCUGAAGCUUUUGGUCCUGCUCCAACAGUGGCGUUUGCAAUCCAGGACUGUCAUGCAGUUUCCAUCGUUAUCUUCUGUGGAGUUCUUCAUUCCCACAUCUGUGGACCUUAAAAUCCUACGGUUGAGUGCCUGCCUUGGAUCAGCAGUCGGUUCGUUACCUUGGUUCUCAGACGAUGCUUGCAACAACGCCAUGCGAUUCGCCCACUCUUGGGUUACAUUAGUUAUAAUAUACACUCUGGAGGUGACUUGACCCAUCAUUGUGAACAACUAUUGCUCUUGGACGACCCAGGACUUAGGCCAGCCAGUACGUACCCCAGUGUGUUGGAGAAUCGCGCUCGGCUUCUUCCUCUGUGCUGAGUCAUGAAAGUUGCCGGAGCAGGUGCAGUUACACAACCUCCAGGUAUGAUCCUGUUUAAGGACUGGAUUUAGGAUAACUACUUAGAGGUUAAAAGUCACAAGGGUGUAUGGAUGAGGCUGGAGUGAUCUGGGACCAAAGACAUCUAGGCUUGCUGUCAAGGCUUCUGAUCAACAUGAGAUGACCGCCGUGUGGUAAACUGAUGAACCCCGACCCUGAUCAACGUGAGAUGACCGCCGUGUGGUAAACUGAUGAACCCCGACCCUGAUGAACAUGAGAUGACCGCCGUGUGGUAAACUGAUGAACCCCGACCCUGAUCAACAUGAGAUGACCGCCGUGUGGUAAACUGAUGAACCCCGACCCUGAU
rnacentral:lncRNA from 1 species